GCUGUUGGCAUCUGGCAAUGUGGUUCUUACAUGAGAACAGUGGCUGGUGUGGUCUGGACCGACAACACCACCUCUGCUGUCACAGUGAAAUCUGCC
rnacentral:miRNA from 1 species